CUUCUUGUGCUCUUCCAUUGCGCUUGGAUUGGUUAAUAUUGAUUUGUUUACUCAAUGGGCAGUGUGCUGGGUUGGCAACCGAUGAUGGGGACUAGGGGUUCUCUUCCUCCUUGGCUGCUCCAUUUGUUAUUAUCCAUGAAGUGUUGCACGUACGUAACUUUUUUCACUUUAAAUUAUCAUUAAUACUUUUGGCAUUUUAACCUAACUUUUGAAAUUGGAUUUUUAGAAUUCUGAUUUCAUAGAUGUACCAAACAAUUGAGAGUGUUGAAGUUUAACGAUUGAGUCCGAAACAUUUUCUCUAGAAGAGAUCAGAUUCUGGCAUAAUCACCGGUGUAAUAUCUUUCGAUUUCCUUUCUUUUUCAUAUAUAUAUAUAUAUAUAUAUAUAGAUAUAAAUAUAUCUGGAUUCUUCAGUUUUCUCUUGCCAAAUCCUAAAUUACUUCCAAUUUUGAGAUUUUGGUUUUUUGGGCUUUCUUUGGUAGUUUACGAAUUUUGAGAUUUGUUGGAGAAAAAAUGGGACUUGGAGAAAGACGAGUAUGGUAAUUUGGGGAUUUUCGAUGUUUGCUUAGUGUGAUUUUAGGUGUAAUUUCAAAUUUCUCCAUUUCAAAUUUCUCCUUUUUUGCGCAAUUUGUCACCUCAGGUGAGUUUUGUUUCUUCGUUCUUAUUUUUUUUGCACUCUUUUUUUAGUAAUGAAGAUAUACUGGGUAUAUAUUUGUUAUCCUAUUAUUAAGAGGAUCACAGAAAAGAAAAAUAAUAGCAACUUAUUUACUAAAGAAGAGAAGAUAACUUUCAAACUGGUCCUUCAUCAAGGAUGACAGCAACUCCGUUGAGUUUGAUUCUUUGUAUGUCUUUAUGAAGUUAGAACAUGGUUCAUGCUUAUUACUCAAAUUAUUGUUAUAGCUUUGAAUUUGCACCCAAUUCACUUUCUAACUAAACACGUGGAUGUGUAAUUUGAGAUUGGCACUAAGCAGGGAGCACGAACAGACUGCUGCAAUUCACUCUUUCCUACUUCUCUAUUCGCCGCUCUCUAUGCUUUGUUGCUUCUUCGCUACAAACCUAAAUUCAUCCUCUUGAAUCACUUUACUUAUUUAAGAGUUUGACUUCAAGACUCAAAGCUUCUGCUUGCUAUUAACAGGUCUAAGUUUUAAUGGUUUAAACGCCUAAUUGAUGCUUCUGCUUGCUACCAAGUUUUUCGAUAGGUAUGUUCAUAAUUCUCUUUACCUGAAGCUUUAAAUUAGAUAUACUAUAGCCAAUUAAUUAUCUAUUGCGGUAUAUGAAGGAAAUUCAAAUUCUGAUUUGGCUUUUUGAUUUAACGCAAUAGGGUUCAAAAUUUUGGUUCUUUUAGCUGAUACUUAUUUCCUUAUUUGCGAUUCAUGGAUCUUUAGUUAUAAUCGUGUUCGAUUAGAGAACAAUACUUGAUUUAUUAUCCUUGGAUUGCAUGGAAAGAUUGACCGUCCAAAUUUUAGCAUCUAUUUGCUUUUCACUUUAACCAAAAAUAAAUAUUUCUACCUAAAACUUCUUAUUUCGAGUUAAUUUCAUACACAUACAAAAUUUACUGAAGGCUAUUGUAGAAUUUUCUGAGCCUUUUCCUUUUUUGUUAACCCUUUAUUGCUAAACUGUAAAAUCUUGAUGUUCCAAGUGCUGGCGACUAUCAAUGUUUACUAUCAAGGAAGGGUCCAGGUAAUGUUCUUUUUUAUAAUUAUGCCUUUUCUGCGCUGUUAGAAUAUUUCUUCUCUUUGGCAGUGGAUUAUGUCUUUGUCGCAAGCAGGGCAUGUGAGUGUGAGUUUAUAUAUUUCAAAAGCUAUAAGUAUUAUUCGUGUUUGUUUGUGGACCAUUAAUACUAUUUUUGAAAAGCUAGCCAUCAUGAAAUGUAAUUUGGAACUUCACUAAUGAAAGAGAAGUUGUUGUUAGGAUAAAAGAUUAAGCGGUAGCGACUCACACUAUAACUAACUAUUAGCUAAUAAAAGAUGAAAUAUGACUAAUAAUUAAUGUUGGAAUAGAAAUGUUAUGGUUAACUGAGACUUAAAUAACAGCGAAAGGAGAGAGGUAUGUCAUACUCAUAUAUGUGGGAAAAAUAUCAAGCCUCAUUCCCCCUUAAUUUUAAGUAUUUUAGAUAAGCUGAAAUAACUUGAAGCUCAUUCUUUUGUGUCGUUUAUGUUCUCCCCUUAAAGCUUAUAGCAACUUUGUUAUGGGAAAGUCUUUUUGUACUAGGGUCUAAGUUUGUUGUUACUCAACUACUGUAUCCUUUUUAUAUGUUGCUCAUAUUUCCUUUGAAGAACAAUAAUCUUGACACAUAAAAAUGAUAAGCUACCCUCGAAAGAAACAACAAACAAAACUUUUAAGUUAUUGAAGCAGCAAACACACUUUCCAUAGUAGUUCUGUGUGUUAUUUUGAUUAUAUUUUUAUCACUGUAAAAGCAACGCAUCUCUCGCAAUACAUUUGUCCUACAAAUUGUUAACUAAAGGAUCCAUGUACUUUUUUGUCACAGGUCUUUUGCAUCAUAUUUUGACAAACUCUCUGAUUAAAGGUAAUUUAUUCUGUCUUACUCCGAUUGAUAUAUUGUUAAGUAUAAAUAUUGGGUGCUUACUUAAGGUUCAACUCAUAUACAUUGUAUUCCUUUACUAAAUAAUGUGGAUCAUGCAAUUUAGUUGAAUUUCAACUCUUGUUUUUGGAGUUUCUCAGCUAUCCCAUGCUUUAAAAAAAUCAUGAAAAUUAGAAAAGAUGCAGAGUUGUUAUAUUGGGAUCAAAUAAAUGAUGAAGCAGCAAAAGACCAACAUGCUAACAAAAUUGCUAGGCGCAAUAAGUGUACAAACUUAUGCAGCCUCACAAAAAGGAAGUAGUUUUAGCGCGUUGACGAGCAAGUAGAGCUAAAUUGAACAGAUGUCGUCUUUUUUCGGCAAUUAGGUUAUUGCCGAUUAACCUAAUAUGUAUCAUUUCGAGACUACUAUUUUAUCUAAGUUAUAAGAGGUUCAUUUCUUCUAUGUAAAACGGGUCAGAGAACUAUACUGUAGAACCUUAGUGUGCAAAUUCUGGCAACUAUCAAUGUCUAUUAUCAAGGAAGGGGCGAUGUGAUGUGCUUGCUUUUUUAUAAUUAUGUCUUUUCUGCUCUGGUGGAAUAAUUCUUCUAUUAGAAAUGUAAUAUUGUGAGAAGUAUAGGUAUUUUUCGCAUUUGUUUAUAGACCUUCAAUAAUAUGUUUAUUUUGAAAAGCUAGCUAUCUUUGUUAUCAAGAUGAAAAAAUAAACAAUAAUAACUAAUAUUGAACCACCUAUGAAUGUAAAAAAGUUGAUAUAAAAUAUUUUGAAAUAAAAAUAUUUUUGUUAACUGGGAAUAGACAACAAGAAAGGGAAGUGUAAAUUUUUUAGUUUCUAAAAUAUGCAUCUCUAAGAUGCUACAAUCCUAAAAAGUCCAAAAUUAAGCGUUAAAAUCUAUUUCUACUGGUGCUUGUAAUUUUUCUACUUUAAUGUCAUAGUUAAAUACUACAUUGGUUUAUGCAGAAAGCUUAACAAUGGAUAACGGAGAAUAUUUAAAGACCGUGGAGCAUGUACAUUGCAUCAUGUUGCAUGAUUCAGAUUACUUUCACUUAUAUGGUGUCUUGGCAAAGGAUUUGAAACAAGUUAAGUCAGCCUGGUAAAAUCUCAUGUAUUCUCAUUAAAAUUCAUAAUGUGCUCCGUCAUUUUCUUUCUCCUAUAAGCUCAAUAAAAUUUGUUCUCUCCUGCAUUCUGUUUUUGCCCCUCCCGUUUGAACUUUGGUCCGAAUUCUUGAACAUGUGAUUCUUCAAGAACUUAACAAUGAAAAUUAUAAUUUCUACCUUGACUUUGUUUGUGCAGCGUGUUUCUUCGCUUGGAAGCUAACAAGGUAUUAACCUGGAGUCUAAGUUUGCUUCGAGCAUAAAGAGAAUGAGUUUGUUUCCUCUUCAUCUUCCACCUUUUUUCCUCUUGUACAUAAAAAUAUGGGAAUAUGAAAUUCCGCAUCCUAUAAUCUGGUUCACAUGGUAAAAUAGUGCUACAGUACUGGAGGAGAAGUUACAAGAAGUAUACAAACUUAUAAAAUUAAAAGUAAAUCCAUAUCAAAAAGCCAAAAUAUAGUUGACCUGGAUUUAUUACCUUUGGUCCAUAUAGAACCUUAUUUUUUCCUGAAAAUGAAAAAGAAAAGAUUAACCAUGAUAGCGAGUUUUAUGCGUAUGUGUUGUUGCACUCCAAUUCCUAUGUAGAUAUGUGGAGUAUUCGUGUAUUUUCAUUUUUUUACUGGCAGAAGUCUUUUAAUGCAGGCUAAAAUUGAGUCUACCAACUUUUUGAAAGCUAUAGUGAAGCACAAAUAGGGAUGUACGAUGGACAAUGUCUAAAAAGGUAUGUCAAUUACGAUCCAGCUAAUUUAGUUUUCUUCUAUUCCUUUUCUCUACUCGUUUUGCAAAAAUAAAAUAAGCUAGACUAACAAAUUAUUAUUACAGGUACCAAUAUUUUGUGAAAGGUAGGCAAGAAAGGAGCCUAACCACAACAUGGCGGCUGCACUAUGUUCUUUUUUAGGAGAUGGAGUGGCUGCACUACAUUUUAUCAAUUUGCGAAUUGUGUAAUAUGUGAUCACAUUUAUUCAUCCAAGAGUAAACAAUGUGUUCCUAUAUGUACGCAAGUAAUUUUCAACCGCUAUUAUACAAUGUAGUAUUUUUGUUGUUUUUUACUUAUAAAAUUUUAUAUCAUAACAAAGUUAAUAAAAAAUAAAUGUUUCAGC
rnacentral:lncRNA from 1 species